rnacentral:rRNA from 1 species
GAUGAACGCUGGCGGCGUGCCUAAUACAUGCAAGUCGAGCGAACAGACGCGGAGCUUGCUCCUCUGACGUUAGCGGCGGACGGGUGAGUAACACGUGGAUAACCUACCUAUAAGACUGGGAUAACUUCGGGAAACCGGAGCUAAUACCGGAUAACAUGUUGAACCGCAUGGUUCAACAGUGAAAGACGGUCUUGCUGUCACUUAUCGAUGUAUCCGCGCCGCAUUAGCUAGUUGGUAAGGUAACGGCUUACCAAGGCAACGAUGCGUAGCCGACCUGGGAGGGGGGUAGGCGACACUGGAGCGUGGACGGCGACCAGGGGCCUGCGAGAGGGAGCAGUAGGGAACGGGCGGCAGUAGGGGGAAGCAUGGCGGAGUGGGGGCAAGCGAGUGGAGGAGGUGUUGGGAGCGUAAUGCUGGGUUACGAGUGGAGAACAAAUGUGUAAGUAACUGAACGCGUCUUGACGGUAGCUAGUGAGAAAGCCACGGCUAACUACGUG